rnacentral:rRNA from 1 species
UACGUAGGGUGCGAGCGUUAAUCGGAAUUACUGGGCGUAAAGCGUGCGCAGGCGGUUCGUUGUGUCGGUGGUGAAAUCCCCGGGCUUAACCUGGGAAUGGCCAUGGAAACUGGCGAACUGGAGUGCGGCAGAGGAGACUGGAAUUCCUGGUGUAGCAGUGAAAUGCGUAGAUAUCAGGAGGAACACCGAUGGCGAAGGCAGGUCUCUGGGCUGACACUGACGCUCAUGCACGAAAGCGUGGGGAGCAAACAGG